CGUUUACAAGUUGAAGAAUCUGAUUAGAUGAAACUAAAGGGUUAAAAUACUUCAACUGAAACACUCAGAAGUUCAGAUGUUCGUCAGAAGAGCACUGUGGGUUGUGAUCGAGAGAUGAUCUAGAUUUGUGGCAGUAUUUCUGGCAGUGACUUCACAGACUUCACCUGCUUUUUUUGUCUUGUCAGUUUAGUUGGUUACAUUUGAUACAUAAAGUAAUACCCUCAUGUGAUGCUCUUUGACAGGAUAUCAGGUGAAAUUAAGUCAGCAGUUGGAAGCAGAUCAGUUGCAGCUCAGCCAGCAGAUUGCUGACUUGUCCAGGGUGCACCUUACCCCUCGACCUGUGCAAGCUGAGAUAGACUCUAGCUUUCACCGCUGCGAUGCUAAAUUGGUGAAGUAGAAGAAAAUGGAUGAAUGGAUGAGAAGAAUCAGAAAGCAGUCAGUCAAUACCUAAAGCAACUACAGUCCUUCAAAUCUUCCAGUCACAGUCACGAGUCACCAUCCCAGCAGCCUCUAAGAAAGAAAACUGUCGACUUAAUGGAGAGAAAUAAGAAAACCCUUUCCCUGUUUAUUCUGCUGCCUGUGCUGCUGCUCUGCAGAAGUGAUGAGUGUCCCAGCCUGCCACAGAAUCUCAAUUGCUACACUGACUUCAAUAGAAACAUCACAUGUUUGUGGAACAGCAAAUACAUGUCUGAUGACACUGCAUGCACGAUACAUGCUCAAUAUAAAUCUGGCCGCCUUCCUUACAGCGCUUCCUGUGACCUAAAAUCUGUUGACGUCUCCAGACCAGCCCUGAAGAAGUGCUCCCUGAUCUUUAAAAUUGAAUACACUUUUCAGUCUUUCCAUGAGUUGUCCCUUAAUCUGAACUGUAACCAAAUGAAGAGUGCAAUUACUUCCUUCAAGCCAUCCUGUCAUAUAAAGGUGAAUCCUCCUGCGGAGCCAAAGGUCAACUUCACCUCUGUUUCCUGGUUGUCCCAAGUCCACAAACAUGAAAGGAUCAGUUCAUACAGAAGUGAACUGCAGUGGAAGAAGCAGGAUCAGUCAUGGAGUGAUCCUGCUGUGCGCGAAAAUCGUGGCAUUCAAUGUGGGCAGGAGUGCAAGGCAGAGCUGGAGCCAGAUUUGCUGAUACAAGGCGAGAGAUACGAGGCACGAGUUCGUGUGCGGUCUAUUUAUCAGAACCGCGAGGGAGCCUGGAGUGACUGGAGCCCCACUGCAUCAUGGGAGUCACAAAUAGGGAAAAUAAAACCAACAUCAGGUAAUACGUUUGUUGUUCCUGUAACGAUAGUCGGUGUGGUGGUGUUGCUGGCAGGCCUGCUCUUAAGCACUCACAAAACCACCCGGGUUUACAUAGUAAAGAAAAUCAAAGGUCCACCCAUACCAGACCCAGGAAAAUCCUUCCUGCGAGAAAUCCAGAGUGGGUUCACCAGUGAAUACUUUCACUCCUUCUUGAAACCAGUGGAAAUGAUCACUGUAGAAUUAACCUCGCCUGUGGAUGCUGUUGUGGCCUACAAGCCAGAUGAGAAGAUGGUGUUGAACAAAGGCAGCUAUGACUCCACCAGCUCCAGCUUCUCUAACCCAAGUUACUCUGAGCUUUGUACUCCUCCUAUUUCCUCACUCACUGCUGGGAAUCUGAAGCCCUGUGGGGCUGACACGCCUUAUGGCCCUGUUGGUGCUCAGGGUGAAGGAAAAAGCACAGAACAGGAAAGCGAUGAAGCGAGAGAGAAAGAAAAGGAGACGUUAAUGUUGCUGCUCAAAGGCAGCAGUAACAGUGAGCCAGUGCAGGUGAUUUCAGACUAUGAGAAAACUGAGAGGCUCGACAAUGAUCGAUUUAGGCUCCAGAGUCUAGAUUCAGGCAUGUGCAGUUGUGAAGAGGUCAGUGAAGAGAGCAUGGAGGCAGAUAGCAUCAAUAUGACUGAUAGCCAUGAUGAGGAACCUGAGGGUGAGGAAGAAAAGGAGGGAGGGAACGAACAAAAGGCAGAUUUUCAGAGGCUGUUUGGAAGCAGCGGAGGUGUGUUUGGCAAGUUUAUUCCGGUUUGUUCUGAUUAUGAGCGAGUGGAGAAACAGCAGGCUGACAGCCCGGAGCUUCCCAGCUUGGAUUCAGGUGUUAGCAGUGGGGGAGAGGAGCAGCUGAGUCAGGAUGAGGGCAUGGAGGAUGCUGAUAAGUCCACUGAAUCUACACGCUUCCUGUUUCCACCUCAUCCUCCCAGUGCUUUACCAUGCUCCCUGCUCUCUUUUCCACAACUGCCUCUGAACUUGCCUGGGCCACGUCUGAGUCCAGCUUUGCACCUCCAGCCAGGUCACAUGACACAGGGGUUUGCUCUGACGUCAGCAGGCAGGUCGGUGGAGCCCUCUGGUGAUGGAUAUAUGCCAGUGAAACAGGAGGAGGGCUGAGAACAGACAGCAGGCUCAACUAGCAGGACAAAAUAGCAUGUAGCACUUGGCGGAGGCAUCACAGCCAGUCAGUUCUCAGGAAAAUGUAACAUCACAUAAAUCUUUAUCCACUUCACGUUAUUCAGCAGCACUGGUGGUAAUAUUCAUGAAUGUAUUUUGUUUUAUCUCUUAUAUUUAUGCAAAAUUAUUUUUCAUAUGUCAGAAUUGUGCACUAUAACUGUUCUUUUAAAAGUGAAUUAUUACUUCAGAUAUUUCUAUUGUUAAAAGAGAAAUGCAUUAUCUAAUGAAAAACUAAACUCAAAUUAAUAAUAAUGUGGUUAUAAUAAUAAAACCGAUUGGAUUCAUAUUGUGGUUUUAGUGAGAUCAUCUAAAUGGCAUGUAGCUUAUUGUACUGAAAUAAAUGUUGGUAAAGGAAUGUAAGUUCCAGAUAGCUGAGAUAGUUGUGUUAUCUGUAUAGUGUGUGAACUGAUGUCAUUUAGAGGGUAUCAUGAUAAUCACAUGUUAACUAUAAUCAGGAUAUUUGAAGAUGUAAUGUGUAGAACAGGUCAGUAAUAACAUUACUGACCUAUGUAAGAGCUUGCAUUUGUUUUUUAAAAAGAAUUUUAUUUUUGUUUUUUCAAUAAAUAUACAUCUGUAAUGGAAUGGAAGUAGUUUCCAUUAUUGUUCUGAUCUUGGUGUCCUUGUAUGUUGUUGACCAUCAUGUCAAUCGUAAAAUAUGUUGUUUACUGUGAUGAACUUCACAGUAAAAUAAAUGACAAGUGCAAAUAA